UACGAAGGGUGCAAGCGUUAAUCGGAAUUACUGGGCGUAAAGCGUGCGUAGGCGGUUUGUUAAGUCUGCUGUGAAAUCCCCGGGCUCAACCUGGGAAUGGCAGUGGAUACUGGCAAGCUAGAGUGUGUCAGAGGAUGGUGGAAUUCCCGGUGUAGCGGUGAAAAUGCGUAGAGAUCGGGAGGAACAUCAGUGGCGAAGGCGGCCAUCUGGGACAACACUGACGCUGAGGCACGAAAAGCGUGGGGAGCAAACAGGG
rnacentral:rRNA from 1 species